rnacentral:rRNA from 1 species
GGAUGCGAUCAUACCAGCACUAAUGCCCACCGGAUCCAUCAGAACUCCGAAGUUAAGCGUGCUUGGGCGAGAGUAGUACUUAGGAUGGGUGACCCCCUGGGAAGUCCUCGUGUUGCAUCCC